AAUGAACGCUGGCGGCGUGCUUAACACAUGCAAGUCGAACGAGAAAGCAUCUUCGGAUGUGAGUAGAGUGGCGCACGGGUGAGUAACACGUAGGUAACCUGCCCUUUGGUGGAGGAUAACCAGGAGAAAUUCUGGCUAAUACUGCAUAAGUUGGUAACAAGAAAGGAUGCUCCGGCAUUCGCCGAAGGAUGGGCCUGCGGAACAUUAGCUUGAUGGUGGGGUAAUGGCCUACCAUGGCUACGAUGUUUAACUGGUCUGAGAGGAUGAUCAGUCACACUGGAACUGAGACACAGUCCAG
rnacentral:rRNA from 1 species